AACGAACGCUGGCGGCAUGCCUAACACAUGCAAGUCGAACGAAACCUUCGUGCCUUGUGGCGCACGGCUGCGUAACGCGUGGUAAGCUGCCCUUAGGUUCGCAAUACCUCCCCGAAAGGGGUCCUAAUACCGGAUAAUCUCUUCGGACCUAAGAUUUAUCGCUUUUGGAUGGGCCCUCGUUGGAUUCGCUAGUUGGUAGGGUAAAAGCAUCCCAAGGCGUCGAUGCAUAGCUGGUCGGAGAGGAGGAUAAGCUACACUGGGACUGAGACACGGCCCAGAAUCGUACGGAAGGGAGGAGUGGGGAAUAUAGGACAAGGGGGGAAGGCCUGAUACAGCAAUGCCGGGUGAGUGAUGAAGGCGGUAGGGUUGUAAAGCUGUUUUACACGGGAUGAUAGUGACGGUAACGGGAGAAUAAGCUCCGGCUAACUACGUG
rnacentral:rRNA from 1 species